rnacentral:rRNA from 1 species
UACGAAGGGUGCAAGCGUUACUCGGAAUUACUGGGCGUAAAGCGUGCGUAGGUGGUUUGUUAAGUCUGAUGUGAAAGCCCUGGGCUCAACCUGGGAACGGCAUUGGAAACUGGCUUACUAGAGUGCGGUAGAGGGGUGUGGAAUUCCCGGUGUAGCAGUGAAAUGCGUAGAGAUCGGGAGGAACAUCUGUGGCGAAGGCGACUGCCUGGACCAGCACUGACACUGAGGCACGAAAGCGUGGGGAGCAAACAGG